UACGUAGGGUGCAAGCGUUGUCCGGAAUUAUUGGGCGUAAAGAGCUCGUAGGCGGUCUGUCACGUCGGACGUGAAAAUCCAGGGCUCAACCCUGGACCUGCGUUCGAUACGGGCAGACUAGAGUUCGGUAGGGGAGACGUAGGUGAAUUCCUGGUGUACGCGGUAGAAAUGCGCAGAUAUCAGGAGGAACACCGGUGGCGAAGGCGGGUCUCUGGGCCGAAACUGACGCUGAGGAGCGAAAGCGUGGGGAGCAAACAGG
rnacentral:rRNA from 1 species